AUUGAACGCUGGCGGCAGGCCUAACACAUGCAAGUCGAGCGGAUGAAGGGAGCUUGCUCCUGGAUUCAGCGGCGGACGGGUGAGUAAUGCCUAGGAAUCUGCCUGGUAGUGGGGGAUAACGUCCGGAAACGGGCGCUAAUACCGCAUACGUCCUGAGGGAGAAAGUGGGGGAUCUUCGGACCUCACGCUAUCAGAUGAGCCUAGGUCGGAUUAGCUAGUUGGUGGGGUAAAGGCCUACCAAGGCGACGAUCCGUAACUGAUCUGAGAGGAUGAUCAGUCACACUGGAACUGAGACACGGUCCAGACUCCUACGGGAGGCAGCAGUAGGGAAUAUUGGACAAUGGGCGAAAGCCUGAUCCAGCCAUGCCGCGUGAGUGAAGAAGGUCUUCGGAUUGUAAAGCACUUUAAGUUGGGAGGAAGGGCAGUAAGUUAAUACCUUGCUGUUUUGACGUUACCAACAGAAUAAGCACCGGCUAACUUCGUG
rnacentral:rRNA from 1 species